rfam:Zootermopsis nevadensis contig11564, whole genome shotgun sequence.
AGAAAAUGGCGUUCGGAGAUUAUCCAGCAGAGUAUAAUCCCAAAAUACAUGGGCCAUAUGACCCAGCCCGUUAUUAUGGACCUCGUAAGUGAAUAUAGUCGUA